rnacentral:rRNA from 1 species
GAUGAACGCUGGCGGCGUGCCUAAUACAUGCAAGUCGAGCGAACGGACGAGAAGCUUGCUGCUCUGACGUUAGCGGCGGGCGGGUGAGUAACACGUGGAUAACCUACCUAUAAGACUGGGAUAACUUCGGGAAACCGUAGCUAAUACCGGAUAAUCUUUUGAACCGCAUGGGUCAAAAGUGAAAGACGGCCGUGCGGGCACUUAUAGAUGGAUCCGCGCUGCAUUAUCUAGUUGGGAAGGUAACGGCUUACCAAGGCAACGAUGCAUAGCCGACCUGAGAGGGUGGUCGGCCACCCUGGAACGUAGACCGGGUCAAGGGGCCUACGGGAGGCAGCAGAAGGCAAUCUGCCGCAAUGGGCGAAAGCCUUACGGAGCAACGCCGCGUGAGUGAUAGAGGUCCUCGGAUCGUGAAGCUGUGUUACUAGGGAAGAACAGAAUUGUAAGUAAAUGUGCACAUCUUGACGGUACCUAAUAAGAAAGCCACGGCUAACUACGUG